CCCUUAGAUGUUCUGGGCCGCACGCGCGCUACACUGAUGCAUUCAACGAGCCUAUCCUUGACCGACAGGUCCGGGUAAUCUUUGAAUCUGCAUCGUGACGGGGAUAGAUUAUUGCAAUUAUUAAUCUUCAACGAGGAAUUCCUAGUAGGCGCAAGUCAUCAGCUUGCGUCGAUUACGUCCCUGCCCUUUGUACACACCGCCCGUCGCUCCUACCGAUUGGGUGUGCUGGUGAAAUGUUCGGAUCGGCCGUUUGUCGCGGUUUCCGCGUCAUGUGGCUGAGAAGUUCAUUAAACCCUCCCACCUAGAGGAAGGAGAAGUCGUAACA
rnacentral:rRNA from 1 species